rnacentral:SRP_RNA from 1 species
UUGGGUGUCGUGUCGCGGCCUGACCGGUGAUCAGCUGUCCAUCCCAAGGUGCCACUAAGGUCGGGUGGGAAGGCGGAAGUCAUCACAUCCGAUCAUCUGAAGGCGCGGGUACUGGCCAAGGCUGGGAACAGAGCAGGCAAUACCGCACGAUGGGACCAGUGAGGGUGGAGAGCGGCUGAGAGGUCGGUAGCCAACACAACAACAACGA